rnacentral:rRNA from 1 species
GGACGAACGCUGGCGGCGUGCCUAAUACAUGCAAGUAGAACGCUGAAGAGAGGAGCUUACUCUUCUUGGAUGAGUUGCGAACGGGUGAGUAACGCGUAGGUAACCUGCCUUGUAGCGGGGGAUAACUAUUGGAAACGAUAGCUAAUACCGCAUAACAAUGGAUGACACAUGUCAUUUAUUUGAAAGGGGCAAUUGCUCCACUACAAGAUGGACCUGCGUUGUAUUAGCUAGUAGGUGAGGUAAUGGCUCACCUAGGCGACGAUACAUAGCCGACCUGAGAGGGUGAUCGGCCACACUGGGACUGAGACACGGCCCAGACUCCUACGGGAGGCAGCAGUAGGGAAUCUUCGGCAAUGGGGGCAACCCUGACCGAGCAACGCCGCGUGAGUGAAGAAGGUUUUCGGAUCGUAAAGCUCUGUUGUAAGUCAAGAACGGGUGUGAGAGUGGAAAGUUCACACUGUGACGGUAGCUUACCAGAAAGGGACGGCUAACUACGUG